rnacentral:rRNA from 1 species
CCUACGGGUGGCUGCAGUGGGGAAUAUUGGACAAUGGGCGAAAGCCUGAUCCAGCCAUGCCGCGUGUGUGAAGAAGGCCUUCGGGUUGUAAAGCACUUUCAGUGGGGAAGAAAGCCUUGGGGCUAAUACCCUCGAGGAAGGACAUCACCCACAGAAGAAGCGCCGGCUAACUCCGUGCCAGCAGCCGCGGUAAUACGGAGGGUGCGAGCGUUAAUCGGAAUUACUGGGCGUAAAGCGCGCGUAGGCGGUCUGAUAAGCCGGUUGUGAAAGCCCCGGGCUCAACCUGGGAACGGCAUCCGGAACUGUCAGGCUAGAGUGCAGGAGAGGAAGGUAGAAUUCCCGGUGUAGCGGUGAAAUGCGUAGAGAUCGGGAGGAAUACCGGUGGCGAAGGCGGCCUUCUGGACUGACACUGACGCUGAGGUGCGAAAGCGUGGGUAGCAAACAGGAUUAGAUACCCCAGUAGUC